rnacentral:rRNA from 1 species
UCUGGUCUUGGGACACUGUCAGGUGGGCAGUUUGACUGGGGCGGUCGCCUCCCAAAAGGUAACGGAGGCGCUCAAAGGUUCUCUCAGUACGGUCGGAAAUCGUACGUAGAGUGUAAAGGCAAAAGAGGGCUUGAUUGCAAGACAUACAGGUCGAGCAAGGAUGAAAAUCGGACUUAGUGAUCCGGUGGUUCUGCGUGGAAGGGCCAUCGCUCAACGGAUAAAAGCUACCCUGGGGAUAACAGGCUUAUCUCCCCC